ensembl:rRNA 5S_rRNA 5S ribosomal RNA
GUCUAUGGCCAUACCACCCCAACGGAGCCUGAUCUCGUCUGAUCUCAGAAGCUAAGCAGAGUCGGACCUGGUUAGUACUUGGAUAGGAGAAAUCAUCAUUUUGUUGCAGUCA